rnacentral:rRNA from 1 species
GAUGAACGCUGGCGGCGUGCCUAAUACAUGCAAGUCGAGCGAACAGACGAGGAGCUUGCUCCUCUGACGUUAGCGGCGGACGGGUGAGUAACACGUGGAUAACCUACCUAUAAGACUGGGAUAACUUCGGGAAACCGGAGCUAAUACCGGAUAAUAUAUUGAACCGCAUGGUUCAAUAGUGAAAGACGGUUUUGCUGUCACUUAUAGAUGGAUCCGCGCCGCAUUAGCUAGUUGGUAAGGUAACGGCUUACCAAGGCAACGAUGCGUAGCCGACCUGAGAGGGUGAUCGGCCACACUGGAACUGAGACACGGUCCAGACUCCUACGGGAGGCAGCAGUAGGGAACCUUCCGCAAUGGGCGAAAGCCUGACGGAGCAACGCCGCGUGAGUGAUGAAGGUCUACGGAUCGUAAAACUCUGUUAUUAGGGAAGAACAAAUGUGUAAGUAACUAUGCACGUCUUGACGGUACCUAAUCAGAAAGCCACGGCUAACUACGUG